UACGUAGGGUGCGAGCGUUAAUCGGAAUUACUGGGCGUAAAGCGUGCGCAGGCGGUUAUUUAAGUCAGGUGUGAAAGCCCUGGGCUUAACCUAGGAAUUGCGCUUGAGACUGGAUAGCUUGGAGUGCGGCAGAGGGAGGUGGAAUUCCACGUGUAGCAGUGAAAUGCGUAGAGAUGUGGAGGAACACCAAUGGCGAAGGCAGCCUUCUGGGCCAACACUGACGCUCAUGCACGAAAGCGUGGGGAGCAAACAGG
rnacentral:rRNA from 1 species